rnacentral:rRNA from 1 species
UACGGAGGGUGCAAGCGUUAUCCGGAUUCACUGGGUUUAAAGGGUGCGUAGGUGGGCAGGUAAGUCAGUGGUGAAAUCUCCGAGCUUAACUCGGAAACUGCCGUUGAUACUAUUUGUCUUGAAUAUUGUGGAGGUAAGCGGAAUAUGUCAUGUAGCGGUGAAAUGCUUAGAUAUGACAUAGAACACCAAUUGCGAAGGCAGCUUACUACACAACGAUUGACGCUGGAGGCACGAAAGCGUGGGGAGCAAACAGG